rnacentral:lncRNA from 1 species
AAGGUUUUAAAUAAAGCACGAGUUGUCUUAAAAUAAUUAUAUUGUCUAACAUCGUUUUAUGAAAAAAAACUCAUUCUAAUAAACUAUACAUUUGAUUCAGAUUUUUUUUAUUCUAAUAUUCUAAAGGAAUUUGGGUAGGAGGGGGGGGGGGGUGAUUCUCUCUUUUGUAGUUCUGCCUAUGAAUUUCAUGUAAGGUAAAUAGUCGGGCCAAUCAUUAUUGGCUUUAUCUAUGAUUCCAAAAGAUCCUGAAUUUAUUGUUUCUGUGAAGUUUGGUUAAAGUAAGGUCCCCAUAUGAUUAUGCACGAUUCUUAAUUAGCGUAAACGUCAAUUAAUGGACAAGCAACCCAACGAGAAAAAUAUAAUUUAAGGGCAUAUCCAACAGUUUCAGGGGAGGUAAUAACAAACGUAACCGUCGUCUAUUGUUUCCCGUAAUUUCACGGUGUUUCAACGACGUCAUAAUGGCCGUCUGGAAAGGGCGUUUUUUUUUCCUCAAAGGAAAGGGUACGGCGGG